rnacentral:rRNA from 1 species
GACGAACGCUGGCGGCGUGCUUAACACAUGCAAGUCGAACGGAAAGGCCCUGCUUUUGUGGGGUGCUCGAGUGGCGAACGGGUGAGUAACACGUGAGUAACCUGCCCUUGACUUUGGGAUAACUUCAGGAAACUGGGGCUAAUACCGGAUAGGGGCUCCUGCUGCAUGGUGGGGGUUGGAAAGUUUCGGCGGUUGGGGAUGGACUCGCGGCUUAUCAGCUUGUUGGUGGGGUAGUGGCUUACCAAGGCUUAGACGGGUAGCCGGCCUGAGAGGGUGACCGGCCACAUUGGGACUGAGAUACGGCCCAGACUCCUACGGGAGGCAGCAGUGGGGAAUAUUGCACAAUGGGCGGAAGCCUGAUGCAGCAACGCCGCGUGCGGGAUGACGGCCUUCGGGUUGUAAACCGCUUUCGCCUGUGACGAAGCGUGAGUGACGGUAAUGGGUAAAGAAGCACCGGCUAACUACGUG